rnacentral:rRNA from 1 species
GUGGGGAAUUUUGCACAAUGGGGGAAACCCUGAUGCAGCGACGCCGCGUGAUUUAGAAGGCCUUCGGGUUGUAAAAAUCUUUUGUAUAGGAAGAAAAUGACAGUACUAUACGAAUAAGGUCCGGCUAAUUACGUGCCAGCAGCCGCGGUAAUACGUAAGGACCGAGCGUUGUCCGGAAUCAUUGGGCGUAAAGGGUACGUAGGCGGCUAGAAAAGUUAGAAGUCAAAGGCUAUAGCUCAACUAUAGUAAGCUUCUAAAACUAUUUAGCUUGAGAAAUGGAAGGGAAAGUGGAAUUCCUAGUGUAGCGGUGGAAUGCGCAGAUAUUAGGAAGAAUACCGGUGGCGAAGGCGACUUUCUGGCCAUUAUCUGACGCUGAGGUACGAAAGCGUGGGUAGCAAACAGGAUUAGAAACCCUAGUAGUCC